GCUACUCUGCUGACGAGCGGCGGACGGGUGAGUAAUGCUUGGGAAUAUGCCUUAUGGUGGGGGACAACAGUUGGAAACGACUGCUAAUACCGCAUGAUGUCUACGGACCAAAGUGGGGGACCUUCGGGCCUCACGCCAUAAGAUUAGCCCAAGUGGGAUUAGCUAGUUGGUGAGGUAAUGGCUCACCAAGGCGACGAUCCCUAGCUGGUUUGAGAGGAUGAUCAGCCACACUGGGACUGAGACACGGCCCAGACUCCUACGGGAGGCAGCAGUGGGGAAUAUUGCACAAUGGGCGCAAGCCUGAUGCAGCCAUGCCGCGUGUGUGAAGAAGGCCUUCGGGUUGUAAAGCACUUUCAGUAAGGAGGAAAGGUUAAGUGUUAAUAGCACUUAGCUGUGACGUUACUUACAGAAGAAGCACCGGCUAACUCCGUGCCAGCAGCCGCGGUAAUACGGAGGGUGCGAGCGUUAAUCGGAAUUACUGGGCGUAAAG
rnacentral:rRNA from 1 species